rnacentral:rRNA from 1 species
AUGCCUACGGGACGCAGCAGUGGGGAAUAUUGCACAAUGGGGGGAACCCUGAUGCAGCAAUGCCGCGUGGGUGAAGAAGCACUCCGGUGCGUAAAGCCCUGUCAGCAGGGAAGAAAAUGACAGUACCUGGACAAGAAGCCCCGGCUAACUACGUGCCAGCAGCCGCGGUAAUACGUAGGGGGCAAGCGUUAUCCGGAUUUACUGGGUUUAAAGGGUGCGUAGGCGGAAUAUCAAGUCAGCGGUAAAAAUUCGGGGCUCAACCCCGUCGUGCCGUUGAAACUGAUGUUCUUGAGUGGGCGAGAAGU